rnacentral:rRNA from 1 species
UACGUAGGGGGCGAGCGUUGUCCGGAAUGACUGGGCGUAAAGCGUGCGUAGGUGUCCCGGCAAGCCUCGGUUUAAAUCCUUCUGCUCAACAGAAGACGAGGUCGGGGAACUGCCGGGAUUGAGAGCAGGAGAGGGCGAUGGAAUUCUCGGUGUAGCGGUGAAAUGCGUAGAUAUCGGGAGGAACACCAGUGGCGAAAGCGGUCGCCUGGCCUGUUUCUGACACUGAAGUGCGAAAGCUGGGGGAGCAAAC